GUUUCGUCUUCUGCAGUUUGCAAAAUUGAAAUCGUCCAUCAUUAUGCAACGCGAGUAAUCUGCAGGAGUCGUAGAAUUGUGGUUCUGUGGGAGGAGUGACAACGGAUAUGCUGUAGCGAGCGUAGAGAGAAUUUCAGUAUGGAUUGGAUGCCGUGUGACGAAAGAUGUUCGUAUUGAAAAAUUGUAAUGGGCAAAUGAGAAACUUAAACAGUUUACCAAUGAAACAUUAAGAAAAUCUGUAUUCGUAGUAAUUCGAUUAUUUAAAAUGACUGUAAAAUGUGUAAUAAUCGUGUAAAAUAUUGUUGGUUCUGUGGAUUGUUGGUUCUGUGUGUGGACUUGGAGCGACUAAUUGGAUUUUUUUCAUAACGAAGUUCUGGGCAAGGCAUCGUGAAAGAAUUCAUCGUUCAAUGCAGAUGCCACCACCUCCAUUACAUGGUGCCCUGCAACCUAGUUCUGUGGCUCCACCAAUAAGACCACCUUCAUCAGGACCAUUACCAUUUCCACCUGGACAUCCUCCACCUCCACCUCCUCCUCCACCACCACCACCAUCAGGUGGUAUACCACCUCCACCGCCAGUACCUCCACCCGUGUCGAGUUAUGCAGGCAUGCCUCCACCUCCACCACCACCAACCGUUCCUCCUCCUCCACCACCUCCACCCAGUACUAGUUCUUCUCAGAUACCAGUACCUUCCAGUAAUGAACCCGGACCUGGUGAGAUGAUGCAACAAAGACAGGUAUCACCCGCUAUGCCACCACAACCUAUGGGAAUGCCGCCACCACCGCCCCCACCACCAUUCCAGGGAGGAGGUAUGCCUCCUCCGCCACCACCCGGAAUGCGACCACCCCCACAAAUGAGCAUGAACUUUGGACCCAGACCGCCACCUUUUGUUAAAUUAUAAGAAGAGAGAUUCCUCAUCAACGUCAACAUAUAUUUCGAAAUGCAAUCCGUUAUUCAGAAAAAUUUCAAUUCUGCGAGAAUAUUCAUUGCUAAUACAGAAGCUGAAGAAAGCGGCUCUGAAAUGUUUGAGAGCGAAUGGAAACCUUUACUAAAAUAUGUCUGAAGUAUUAAUUCAUCAAGAUGUCGGAAGUGUUAAUAGCAUCCGAAGUAUCCUGUAAUUAAAAAAGCUUCCAAAUUUCAAAUAGAUAAAAUUCAUACUUAAUACCUGGGCGAACAAAAAUUUCCGUGAAUUUUUCAUGAACCGUCGGUUUUGUUCCUCACUACUCGGACACUCACUUUGUGGGCCUGGCCUAUUCCAAGAUGAGUAAAUCAGUAUUAAAAAAAGGCCUUCUUAGUACCCAUAAAAAUAUAAUUAAAAAGAAAACGCAUUUCACACCCAUUUUAUUCUGACAACAAUAAUGAUGUAUAGGAAAUAUAAAAUAAACUUUGUUUUAUUAUUGUUAUUAUUAAGAAUGUAUACACAAGAACUUGUAAUAAAGAAAUGUAAAGAGAAAUAAUGACUUUCUCGACAUUAUUUGCAACAAAAUCAAUCGAUGAAGUGUAUUUUUUAUCAAAGGCUCCAUGAACUAACAAACCUUCAAUAUUUCUCAAAAUUACGUAAAGCGAAUGGUAAAGGAAACAUUUCCAGUUUAUCAAUAUAUAUUCAAAAAUNUAAGAAAAUGAAUAAAGUUCAAGUAUUUUCAUCUCAAGAUGAAUCUGAAAGCAAUGGAGACAACAUGGCUGACUUACAGAGUCAUUGGAAGCCAUUAAUGAUAAAUAUGAAUAUUCUUGGCUUAAAAUUUGAAAAUAAAUAUUCUUUGCAUACUGUCUUCAUGCUGUUUGGCGCUACAAUGGUUCCAGUUGCCUAUGUUUCUUUUGCAUUUAUAAUAAUGUACAAGCAAUCAAUUAUAAUGUAUACGUUUAUUUUCCUGUAUUUUUCUGUUUCAUUUACAUUUUACUUCAUAUUCUUGUAUCACU